UAUUGCUAUAGAUUGGUGCAAAAGUAAUUGCGAAUUUUGCCAUACUUCGAAUGGCAAAACACAAUUACUUUUGCACCAACCUAAUAGUAAUAUAUUUUACUACAAUU
rnacentral:miRNA from 1 species